rnacentral:lncRNA from 1 species
ACCACUGUACUCCACCUCCACUCAUCCGGCAUCCUUUUGGUCCUGAAGAUCGCAUUGAACCUGGAGAGCCACAAAAAGAGGGAUCUAAUACGAGGACUUCCCAUGGGGUCACCCAUCCUAGUACUACUCUUGCCCAAGCACGCUUAGCUUCGGAGUUCUGAUGGGAUCCGGUGCGUUAGUGCUGGUAUGAUCGCAUCCCGCACUAACAGAAAUUAUGUUUGGGUUUUCUCCCCUUUUUCUUAACAGAAAUUAUGAAUCUUUUUUCUUCUUAAUUUUACAUUCUGCUAAUCAUGUUUGUUAAGUUGGUAAGUUUUCCCUCAUGUUCUUUCUUUACUUCUGUAUUUUCUUAAUUUGAAGUUUUAUUCAUUUUUUCGACGUUGGUUUCUCUGUUCUUUUGAAUAAUUUCUUGUUAUAUUUUCUAUAAGCAUGUCUGAAUUGUAUAUGCAGGUUUGGAAAGAAAUACCUAGGUGCACAUUCUUUGUUUUUAAUUUUUUAUUUUUAUUCUGGUGGAGCAAAAUGAGACCUUUAGUGUGAAAAUAUUAUUAUGAAAUAGUCGCUCAGGAACAAACCAAAUUAUCCAAUAUAUUUAGGAUGUUAAGAACUAAUGGUACAAGAUAUCGUUUGGAAAUAAUUUCUUUUGCCAAUGACAAAGAAACAUUAUUACGGGAUCCAUUAGCAUGCAACAGCUUUUGGACUGUCACUGAUUGUUAGUUCUAUUUAUUCCUAGUAAUGCAUGUCCUUUUAUCCUCUACUGAGGUCCAAAAUUUACGCUUAAUACACAUAUAAAUAUGCCAAUAUGACUAAAAGAGUAUUAUUCAGAUAAUAUAGCCAAUAAUUUGUCAUAUUUGAUCUUUCCUAUGAAUUUUAUGCUUAAAUGUUUUAUAAUACUUUUCGUCCCUUUAGUUCAAAAUAAUUUUCAGAAUUUGCUAGCACUAAAAUUAAAUGUGAGCAUUCGCAGUUUGUACAACAAAUCAAUACUUUUUACGAUUAAGUUUGUUUGUAGAAGUUCGAGUCGUCUAAUGCGUCUCUCAUUUUUAAGGUCCUAAUAUUUCCAAAGCACCUAAACUCUGUAGAACUUAAUGAUCACACACUUUUUUGCAGGUAUGAGGAAAAGCUUAUUGAACUACUUACAAUGUCGAACCCGACGGCCGACAUAGGACAUCCAUCCCUCGAUAGUAGAAAGCUCUCAGAAAAUUUAGUGGCCAAGAUUUGUUAUCCAAAUUGGCGUUGUUCAAUUUUCAAUGUUACUGAACCUUAGCAACUAAAGUGACUAUCUUUCUUCCUGAUGCUAAAGCUGAAGUUAUAGAAUCAAAGCAGUUAACUCAGGUUUUAUAUUGACCCAUAGAAGGUAUAUUACAUUAUUAGCUCAUCUUUCUCUUUUUUAUAGUUUGCUCUUGGAUAGUUUAAUCUUAUUUUUCUUUGUAGAUACUGAUUCAUAUUGCAGCAUAAUCCAUUGUUGUUUGAUCUAUGUAAUGAGUGUGUGCAAUAUAUUAAUGGAAAGUCUCAUCUAUGUGACUGUGAAAGCUUUGAAUCGAAGGUAUGUACACUUCUGUUAUCACGUAUAUGGUAGCAUUUUUAUUUAUCCAGCUGAACUCUUUUAUAUUCAGAUAAACUUUUCUCUGUCUGUAUGUCACCAAUAACAUACCGUUACAUUCUAAUUACUGAAAAAAGAUAUUUAAUUUUCUGCUUAUAAUUUUAGCCAUUGGUUUUUGUUAAAUUCUAAAUGGAGAAGUAGGACUAAAAUUAGUAGCAUGCAAGGGAUGGAAGUUUGGCCAUCAUUACCACUUCAAAAGGAUACUACAAACUACUGGACAAGAUACCUAGGUUGAGCUCAGAUGGUAACUUAUUGGUGGGGUGGGGUGGGACGGUGGGAAAGCUUCUGGCUAGAAUAUGCUUUGUUUAGAGUUUGUUUUAUAUGAAUAGUGUAGCGCCAUCUUCAGAGUCCAAGAGUACCCCCUAUAAUGUGGUAAGUGUCUGUCCGUAUUGCACGAUAUCUUGCGUUGGCGUAUUUUUAUACUUAAUUAUCAUUUAGGUUCAACGUACAUAUAUUCAUUGCAUGGGUUCAUAUAGCAAAGUACUACUGCCCAUUAUUCUUUUUCUUUGAUGAUGGUGUAAGUUUGUCUGAAUUUUUCUACUCAAAUGUUAUUGUGAUAUCUACAAAGUAUUUUCUGCAUUAUUCAUCAUUUUAGUUCUCCCGAAUAGUUUUUAAACUUCAAUUCAAAUGAAGAUGGUAUUUGAGACGUUGAGUUGGUCUCUUUACAUUUUGAAAAAAUGUCUCUAGGCAGCUUGAAGUAUUGUUACUGCCAAAACAUUCUAUGUAAGCUUCACAUCAUUACUUAAGAGUUCACUUGUGGCUGUUUGUUGGCGGGAUUUGAUUGCUGUAGAUUCUACCCGCCUGCACUUUAGUUACCCACUUUUCCUUCUAAUUUGUGCAUGUUCAUAUAGUAAAAUGUCCCACUAUUAGUGCAAGAUUAGUUAAUCUAAAUACAACUUCUCUGUUACAUCACAUUUUUUCAAAAAAGGAAUCCCAAAAAAAAAAGAAGAAAAAGAGAAGUAAGAGGGAAAGAAGAUUUAGAUUCAUUUACUCAUGAAACAGAUUGAAAGAACUAAAGUGAGGAGCCGUAGUUGAGAUAUUGUACAUAAUUGGAAACUCACAUUUUAAUUUAAUUUCUAACGUGUGAACAAGAAGAAAUGAUGGUUAUCUAUAAUCUUAGUUGUCCAACUUUAUUUUCUUUAAUAGAUAUAGUAAUUAUUCUGAAAUUUUAAUAGAUGUUGCAUUAGAAAAUCUUCAUGAUGUUGUAGGGAAACAGAAAGAGAGACAUUUACUUGGUAUUUUGUCACUUUUGCAUAACAUAGAUACAGACGAAGUAUGAAAAAAGUGUGAGAGUAUUUUAAUUUGUCUAAUAUGCAUGUCUAAUGUUGAAAUUCUUGAGUUUUUGCAAGACUCAAAUUUGUGUAAAGAUGCUAGAAUGAUUUUGUAUUCCACUAUUAGGUGUAAUAGUAGUUCCAUGGAGUUGAACCUCCUUUCUUGUGGUAUUAGUAACUACUUUUAGCUUUGUUGUAGUUAUCUGCUCAGAAAAUAAAGUGUGCAAUAUAUUACUAAUGCUCUUUUGUUUUUGUUUUUGUUUUUGUUUGUGUUUUUGUUUUUCCUUUCCUUCAUUGAGCCGAUGGUCGAUUGGAAACAACCUCUCUGCCCUAUGGGGUAGGGGUAAGGCUCGUCUAUAUAUUACCCUCCCCAGACCCUAUUUUGUGGGACUAUACUGGGUAGUUGUUGUUGUUGUAAUAUAUGAAACUUAUUGGAUUUUAAUAGAUUUUGCAGGAAAAGCUUAAUUGUGAAUUCUUUCUUCAUAAUACUAUUUGAGACAUACAAGAGGGGUUGCUCUGCCCCAUUUCCAACCGAGAGGUUGUGAGUUCGAGUCUCCCCAAAAGCAAGGUGGGAAGUUCUUGGAGGGAAGGAUGCCGGGGGUCUAUUUGGAAACAGCCUCUCUGCCUAAGGGUAGGGGUAAGGUGUGCGUACACACUACCCUCCCCAUCCCCUACUAAGUGGGAUUAUACUGGGUUGUCGUAGUUGUUGUAUAAUACUAUUUGAGACAUUGCAUUGGGAAUUUUCAGGUGGCACAACCACCAUGCUUGCAAGCAUGAGCAGAGAAUAAGAUAGGGGUGCGCACUAAAAGUCAGAGUGUUGAUAGAUAUUGACAUGCCUACUGCUUGCUGAAUUUUAGUGAUAGUAUUACCACACAUCACAUUCAUCAGCUAGAAGCUUUCAUAAGGAUAAUCAUUUUCUUGAUCACCUAGCGGGUAGUGUUUAUUUUAUAUGGGCUACUACUCAGAUGGAAGCCAAGAUCGAAGCCAUCGUGAAGACUAGAAAAUUUUGGCUAGGGGUACUUUUGCCAACGACCUCCUUGAAAACAAGCUGUUAAAUGAGGAAGUUGGCCAAAAGGCAAUUCACAUUCCACAGGAGAAUUUUAUAAUGUAGAAAGAUUUAUAGUAGGGGAUGGAAGUUGUAAUUGCUAAAAAGGCUUUGAUCAUUUUUUGCUACAAUGUACUAAAUUAGAUGAGAGAAUUAGUGUUCUCUUACCUUCUGAAACCAGAUAUAUAUUUGAUCCAAGAUACUAUUUUAUUUUAUUUUAUAUCUAAGUGUAGAUUAAUUUAAGCCACAAGGAAAAUAAAGCUUGGAUUCUCUUGUGUAGUUCCAUCAUUUUGAAUCUUUUUUUAAUCUCACUUUGGAUAAAAAAGAAUUAGUUACCUCUUGUAGC